rnacentral:rRNA from 1 species
GUUGAAACACUAAUUCUCAUACAAUCACCAAAGUUAAGCAAUGUCGAGCCUGGUCAGUACCUCGAUGGGUGACCGCUUGGGAAUACCAGGUGCUGUAAG